CUUGUUGGAAAACUUUUAAACGGUCCAGAUCCCCACCCCUAAACCAUAUAUAUUCUUGUAGGGGACAAUAAGACAAAUCAAAUGAAAUAAAAAGGAAGUCCCUAGGGGGUCACCCCACCCCUUCUUGUUUGAAAACUUGUAAACGGUCCAGAUCCCCACCCCUAAACCAUAUAUAUUCUUGUAGGGGACAAUGAAACAAAUCACAUGUAAUUAGAUGGAAGUUCCUGGGGGUCACCCCUACCCCGUUCAAUUUGAGAAUGUACUAUUAUCUUGUAAACAGUCCAGAUCCCCACCCCUAAACCAUAUAUAUUCUUGUAGGGGACAAUAAAACAAAUCAAAUGAAAUAAAAGGGAAGUCCCUAGGGGGUCACCCCACCCCCUCUAGGUUGACAACUUGUAAACGGUCCAGAUCCCCACCCCUAAACCAUAUAUAUUCUUGUAGGGGACAAUAAAACAAAUCAAAUGAAAUAAAAGGGAAGUCCAAAGGGGGUCACCCCACCCCCUCUAGGUUGAAAACUUGUAAACGGUCCAGAUCCCCACCCCUAAACCAUAUAUAUUCUUGUAGGGGACAAUAAAACAAAUCAAAUGAAAUAAAAGGGAAGUCCAUAGGGGGUCACCCCACCCCCUCUUGUUUGAAAACUUGAAAACGGUUCUAGAUCCCCACCCCUAAACCAUAUAUAUUCUUGUAUGGGACAAUAAAACAAAUCACAUGAAAUUAGAUGGAAGUUCCUGGGGGUCACCCCCACCCUGUUCAAUUUUAGAAUGUACUUUUAUCUUGUAAACGGUCCAGAUCCCCACCCCUAAACCAUAUAUUAUCUUGUAGGGGACAAUAAAACAAAUCAAAUGAAAUGUAGGUAAAGUCCUGGGGUCACCACCACCCCCUUCUGUUUGAAAACUUGUAAAUGGUUGAGAUCCCUACUCGUAAGCCAUAUAUAUUCUUGUAUGGGACAAAAAAUCAAAUCAAAUGAACAUGGGACCAUAUGAAUGGGGAGUUAUCGGAGCUUUGUUUGGGAGACUUCGUAACAGCAUCCUGUUACAAUUACUUCUUGUU
rnacentral:lncRNA from 1 species